CGCCCGCCCCGCCGGUGCGCUCCUCGGCCCGGACCGCCUCCGGGAGCGCCCACCCCGCCCCGCCGGCCCCAUCACCCCCGCCGCGGCCGCCCCCUCUCCGGGGCCCCUCUUCUCCCUACCUCGCCCCCCUUCCCGCUCCGGUCCUCUUUGUCCCCACUGCCUCGGAGCGCUCCUCUCUCCCCUCCUUUCCUCGGCCGAAGCGGACGCCAGCCCUGCGUCCCGUGUGUCCCACCCUCCUCCUGCGCGACCACAGCUUCCCCGGGCCCCAGCAUCCCCAAGCCGUCUGCUCCCUUCCUGUCGCUUUCCUCCCCAUGACCCCCUUCCUUCUUCAUGGGUGCCUGUCCCCGGGCCCCUCUCCUCGACCCCGCCUUGCCUUUCGAAUGUCCCCUGCGUGGACACACCUAACCCAGACGCCAACCUGCACGAGUGUCUCCCGGUAGCCGGGAGCCGGGACCCCAAGUUCACCUGUAGGAUUUCCCAGAAGGGGUGUUGGGGCCUGACCUUUCACAGAUCUGCAGACGAAGGUCCAAAGGAAGAAGAUUUUGUUGAAGACUGAAAAGAGAAAUAUACUUGGUGGACAGAGAUAACUCCUUUCAGCACAGAGGUCAGUUCCAUGUACCCACGUGGCUGGAUUCUGAACAAUGACCACUUCCAGACCGGACUUACAAAAUCUCUCUCCACACUCUCUCAUUUCCCUCAUCUUCCGAGAAGAUCCAAUGGAGGACUUCAAAGUCCUAGAAGAUGGCAAAGCGACAAGACAGAAAGAAUGUCAUCCAUGAAUGACCACGUGGAGCAGAGCUCCCACUCCCUGCCCUGCUGUCCCACAUUGCACAAGAAUGUGACAUAGAAACACAAUUUCAUUUCUCUUAUGUCACGGAAAUUUGAGGACUCUUCCUUAUAGUUGCUAGUAUUAAUUACCCUAGCUAAUGCCAAGGAAGACCAAAAAGUCUUUCCAAUGCUUUGUAAGGACUAACCAGAAGACACACAUAAACACAGCUUUGCUCAAAUUCAUUUUUGUCACAAAUCACUUCUUCAGGGCCUCAGAAUGUGAAUUCCAGCUGCUCUGUCAACCAAUGUCUAGAAACAUUUUUGCUGUUGAGUGCAAAGUCUUCAUUCAUGAGGGUGCUCUCCAAACGCAUUCAUUCCAUGGUGUUCAUUUCUUGGUAUAGAAGCAUAUGAGGAACAGCACACUCCCUGGAUCUAUAUACUACAUUACCUGUAUUAAUAAGAAUGCUAGGCUGUACCCAUUCAUUAUCUACCAGCCCGCCAGACAAAAU
rnacentral:lncRNA from 10 species